CGGACUCACCCUCUGAGCCCCACCUCCACCACAGCCAAAGACCCUCCCACCGCCGGGGAGCUCACCACGGGACCUGACAACCUGAGCUGGCUCUAAAUACGGACUCCGCUCAGCAGGCUCUCCUUCCUCUUCACUUGUGUAGAUUGAGCUGAAAGGACAAAAAUGCCUUUCUUGGACAACACGAUGUUCAACUUCUCCUCUCUGCGUACCUAUCGUGGCUGCAUCCGUUAGGUGCUCCUUAAGGUGCAGAGAGACGAAGACGCUCUACAAGACCAAACACCCAGUUGGAAGGAGAACCACAUCUGGCCCCUGUGUCUCCAUAUUGACCAUGCCACUGCUCUUUCCACUGCCAGAGAAUAUAUAGAAUUCCGGUGAACCACUCUGCACAAAGACUUUUCAGGAAUAAGCAAUAAGCACAACACGAUGGCCUUCCUGGCCGGUGCCCUGGAAGU